ensembl:snoRNA SNORA70 Small nucleolar RNA SNORA70
CUGCAGCUAGUUGAGCUGCCCAGGUCCCUUUCUUCACGGAGGCCUGUGUGCAAUGGCUGCAAACAGCAGCCUCCUGGGUAACACUUUUAGCCUGCUGCCUAUGUGGGCUGCACUAGGACACAGUGGCCAGGG